rnacentral:rRNA from 1 species
UGAAAAGAGAGUUAAACAGUAUGUGAAAUUGUUAAAAGGGAACCGUUUGGAGCCAGACUGGCUUGAUCGUAAUCACUCUAGGCUUUGGCCUGGAUGCACUUGCGGUCUAUGCCGGCCAACGACAGUUUUGUUUGAGGGAAAAAAUUACAUUGAAUGUGGCCCUUCGGGGUGUUAUAGCUUUGUAAAAAAUACCUUGGACGGGACUGAGGAACGCAGCGAAUGCCUUUAGGCGAGAUUGCUGGGUGCUUGCGCUGAUACAUGCUAGAAUUUCUGCUUUGGGUGGUGCUAGUGUGUAAAGGAGUAACCCGCUUAGUAUAUUUUUUAUUCGCUUAGGUUGUUGGCUUAAUGACUCUAAAUGACCCGUCUUGAAACACGACCCAAGA